rnacentral:rRNA from 1 species
GACGAACGCUGGCGGCGUGCUUAACACAUGCAAGUCGAACGGUAAGGCUCCAGCUUGCUGGGGUACACGAGUGGCGAACGGGUGAGUAACACGUGGGUGACCUGCCCUGCACUUCGGGAUAAGCCUGGGAAACUGGGUCUAAUACCGGAUAGGACCGCACCGUGAGGGUGUGGUGGAAAGUUUUUUCGGUGUGGGAUGGGCCCGCGGCCUAUCAGCUUGUUGGUGGGGUAAUGGCCUACCAAGGCGGCGACGGGUAGCCGGCCUGAGAGGGUGGACGGCCACAUUGGGACUGAGACACGGCCCAGACUCCUACGGGAGGCAGCAGUGGGGAAUAUUGCACAAUGGGCGGAAGCCUGAUGCAGCGACGCCGCGUGGGGGAUGACGGCCUUCGGGUUGUAAACUCCUUUCACCAUCGACGAAGGGUUUCUGACGGUAGAUGGAGAAGAAGCACCGGCUAACUACGUGCCAGCAGCCGCGGUAAUACGUAGGGUGCGAGCGUUGUCCGGAAUUACUGGGCGUAAAGAGCUCGUAGGUGGUUUGUCGCGUCGUCUGUGAAAUUCCGGGGCUUAACUCCGGGCGUGCAGGCGAUACGGGCAUAACUUGAGUGCUGUAGGGGAGACUGGAAUUCCUGGUGUAGCGGUGAAAUGCGCAGAUAUCAGGAGGAACACCGGUGGCGAAGGCGGGUCUCUGGGCAGUAACUGACGCUGAGGAGCGAAAGCAUGGGGAGCGAACAGGAUUAGAUACCCUGGUAGUCCAUGCCGUAAACGGUGGGCGCUAGGUGUGGGUUUCCUUCCACGGGAUCCGUGCCGUAGCUAACGCAUUAAGCGCCCCGCCUGGGGAGUACGGCCGCAAGGCUAAAACUCAAAGGAAUUGACGGGGGCCCGCACAAGCGGCGGAGCAUGUGGAUUAAUUCGAUGCAACGCGAAGAACCUUACCUGGGCUUGACAUAUACAGGAUCGCGCCAGAGAUGGUGUUUCCCUUGUGGCUUGUAUACAGGUGGUGCAUGGUUGUCGUCAGCUCGUGUCGUGAGAUGUUGGGUUAAGUCCCGCAACGAGCGCAUCCCUUGUCUUAUGUUGCCAGCACGUUGUGGUGGGGACUCGUAAGAAACUGCCGGGGUUAACUCGGAGGAAGGUGGGGAUGACGUCAAAUCAUCAUGCCCCUUAUGUCCAGGGCUUCACACAUGCUACAAUGGUCGGUACAGUGGGUUGCCAGUCCGUGAGGGCGAGCUAAUCCCGCAAAGCCGGUCUCAGUUCGGAUCGGGGUCUGCAACUCGACCCCGUGAAGUCGGAGUCGCUAGUAAUCGCAGAUCAGCAACGCUGCGGUGAAUACGUUCCCGGGCCU